rnacentral:siRNA from 1 species
CCGUCCUGCCAAACCCGUCCACA